AGCGAACGCUGGCGGCAGGCCUAACACAUGCAAGUCGAACGAACCUUUCGGGGUUAGUGGCGGACGGGUGAGUAACACGUGGGAACGUGCCUUUAGGUUCGGAAUCACUCAGGGAAACUUGUGCUAAUACCGAAUGUGCCCUUCGGGGGAAAGAUUUAUCGCCUUUAGAGCGGCCCGCGUCUGAUUAGCUAGUUGGUUGAGGUAAUGGCUCACCAAGGCGACGAUCAGUAGCUGGUCUGAGAGGAUGAUCAGCCACAUUGGGACUGAGACACGGCCCAAACUCCUACGGGAGGCAGCAGUGGGGAAUCUUGCGCAAUGGGCGAAAGACUGACGCAGCCAUGCCGCGUGAAUGAUGAAGGUCUUAGGAUUGUAAAAUUCUUUCACCGGGGACGAUAAUGACGGUACCCGGAGAAGAAGCCCCGGCUAACUUCGUG
rnacentral:rRNA from 1 species